ensembl:lncRNA
CAAAGAACCUGCUUAAACCUAAGAAAGACUUCGCCCUCUUCCAGAGCAUUGCUUUUGGCAAGAGACUUUGUCAACAAGAUCUCCAUGGAUCUCAAUUUACAGUGCUUGUGCAUCUUCUAAGCACAGACAACAGAUCCUUACAACAGGUCCAACAGAUCCUGACAACAGCCAGCUAAUCCUUCCAACCCAGUCAAAAAGAACAAGAGAAGUGGUGAGGAAGACGUGCAGGAGGUGGUAAGGAGCUAUCUUGCUCCUCGAGAUGCUCUUGACAGGAGGAAAU